rnacentral:snRNA from 1 species
AUGCUCGCUUCCGCAGCACAUAUACUAAAAUUAGAAUGAUACAGAGAAGAUUAGCUUGGCCCCCGCACAAGGAUGACAUGCAAAUUCAUGAAGCAUUCCAUAUUUUC